UACGGAGGAUCCGAGCGUUAUCCGGAUUUAUUGGGUUUAAAGGGUGCGCAGGCGGCAUGUUAAGUCGGCGGUGAAAUUUUGCAGCUCAACUGUAACAGUGCCGUUGAUACUGGGGAGCUAGGAUUUGGUUGCUGUGGGUGGAAUGUGUGGUGUAGCGGUGAAAUGCUUAGAUAUCACACAGAAUAUCAAUUGCGAAGGCAGCUCACAAAGCUAAGAUUGACGCUGAGGCACGAAAGUGUGGGGAUCAAACA
rnacentral:rRNA from 1 species